UACGUAGGGUGCGAGCGUUAAUCGGAAUUACUGGGCGUAAAGCGUGCGCAGGCGGUUUUGUAAGCCAGGUGUGAAAUCCCCGGGCUCAACCUGGGAAUGGCAUUUGGGACUGCAAGGCUGGAGUGUGGCAGAGGAGACUGGAAUUCCUGGUGUAGCAGUGAAAUGCGUAGAUAUCAGGAGGAAUACCGAUGGCGAAGGCAGGUCUCUGGGCUGACACUGACGCUCAUGCACGAAAGCGUGGGGAGCGAAACAAG
rnacentral:rRNA from 1 species